rnacentral:rRNA from 1 species
GAUAGUGGCGCACGGGUGCGUAACGCGUAACCAACCUACCCGAAUCUGGGGGAUAGCCCGCCGAAAGGCGGAUUAAUACCGCAUAAAACGGCAGACCGGCAUCGGUUCACCGUUAAAGAUUUAUUGGAUUCGGAUGGGGUUGCGUGCCAUUAGCUAGUUGGCGGGGUAACGGCCCACCAAGGCGACGAUGGCUAGGGGAGCUGAGAGGCUGGUCCCCCACACGGGCACUGAGAUACGGGCCCGACUCCUACGGGAGGCAGCAGUAGGGAAUAUUGGGCAAUGGUCGAGAGACUGACCCAGCCAUGCCGCGUGCAGGAUGAAGGCUUUCUGAGUCGUAAACUGCUUUUACCAGGGAAGAAAAAAGGGGAUGCGUCCUCUACUGACGGUACCCGGUGAAUAAGCACCGGCUAACUCCGUGCCAGCAGCCGCGGUAAUACGGAGGGUGCAAGCGUUGUCCGGAUUUAUUGGGUUUAAAGGGUGCGUAGGCGG